UUACUACUUCCUCCGUCCCAAAAUUCUUGUCUUAGAUUCGUCUUCCGUAUCUAGACGAAUCUAAGACAAGAAUUUUGGGACGGAGGGAGUACUAG
rfam:Triticum aestivum genome assembly, contig: Triticum_aestivum_CS42_TGACv1_scaffold_307705_4AS